rnacentral:rRNA from 1 species
UGGGGAAUUUUGCACAAUGGGCGCAAGCCUGAUGCAGCCAUGCCGCGUGUAUGAAGAAGGCCUUCGGGUUGUAAAGUACUUUCAGCGAGGAGGAAGGCGUUGUGGUUAAUAACCGCAGCGAUUGACGUUACUCGCAGAAGAAGCACCGGCUAACUCCGUGCCAGCAGCCGCGGUAAUACGGAGGGUGCAAGCGUUAAUCGGAAUUACUGGGCGUAAAGCGCACGCAGGCGGUCUGUCAAGUCGGAUGUGAAAUCCCCGGGCUCAACCUGGGAACUGCAUCCGAAACUGGCAGGCUAGAGUCUUGUAGAGGGGGGUAGAAUUCCAGGUGUAGCGGUGAAAUGCGUAGAGAUCUGGAGGAAUACCGGUGGCGAAGGCGGCCCCCUGGACAAAGACUGACGCUCAGGUGCGAAAGCGUGGGGAGCAAACA